GCCCUAUGAUGAGAAUAAGGCUAAUACGAGCUGAUUGGCAGGGGUCUUGUGUUCUCUUGCUUUCUGAUUGGUGGGUAAUCUUGGCAGAGCAGUGGAGAUUGGCUGCGCUGCUGUAAGGGCCCACCUAUAUUUCUAAAUUCUAGCUCUCAGUCAUUAAGCAGUUUUCUGCUAGAUGUGGAAACUUGUGUGUGAUUGGGCAGCUUACAGUGUGUAUGUGUGUGCGUCUGAGUGUGUGUAAAUGUGUCAGUCGGCAUAGAGUUGCAUUUCCUAAUGGGCCCAUCAGCUGUGAACAUCUUCUUUGGUAAUCUGAGGGCA